GAUUACGAUAAAGAAUUGCUAUCUGCUAUAUUUAUUUGAUUGUAUCUGGUAGGUAUGUAGGAAAAAGAGUUAUCUCUUAGCUACUGUCCGUCUCUCUGAGUUUCUACUACUAAGUAGCACUUCUGCUAUUCAAUCAUAGAAUCGAUUCCGAUCAAGAUGAAAAAACCUUGCAAGGUAACGAAGUUCAAAUUUCUCUUACGCAAUUAGUAAGACACGAGGGAACAACCUUAGAGUGAUUCAGUCGAUACAGAGGCUUGACUACUUCGAUGGAAAGUUCUGAAAGAACAGAUUAGAUGUGAUUACCAAUCGGCUUACUACUGGUUGGCUUGACUUUGAGGUGAGGUACUUAUACUUCUUUUACAUUUUUUGCUGGGUUUCCAUUUCUUCCUCCUUCUUUGAAUUAUAGAGAUUGUAUACGCCUGUAUAAAAAAAAAAAGGUCGGGAUAGAUUCAGUGAAGCAUUAGUAUGCUCACGAACAGGCAUAGCAAUAAGCUCUGUCUUUGGUCCUUCCACGCUGCUAUCAACGAGUUAUGAAUUGCGAAAUCAGCAUCGAUUGGAGCUACUGAAUAAACUGCUAAAUCGAUUGCUUCUACUGAAUCACCUGCAAUGGAUUGUGAAUCCACCAUGUGCGGGUUCAAUUCCCAUCGUUUUCCCAUAACUAAUUCGCUACAAUCGGGGGUACCCAGGUUUUGAUUUCCCUACUUCAUAAUAGAUAGGCAGAUGCGAAGCAAAGGAAGAGGAAAAGGGCAGGCAUAAGCAGGAGAUGCCACCAUUGAUUGCCUAUAUUAGAUAGGAGAUAGGAUAGCGGACCCUUUCUCUUUCAAAAAUAAAUAACAAGAAUCUUGGUCGAAAAAUGGGACGCUACUCCGAUAGCUUCCUACUCAUAGCUAGGAGAGGAAUGAAAACUACAAGGUAAUGAGCUCAGAGGAAAGAGGCACGGGUUUGAGUCUUCUAUUGUUGAAAGAAUGAAAGAAUAGGGAGCUAACCUUUGAGAAGAAUCAAAAAUAAAAAUGGAAAGUGUUCAAUUGGAACAUGAAAACGUGACUAAAUGGGUCCUAUCGGGACGGAGUGGAAGAAAGGAGGAGAUUCUUGAACGAGGAAAAGGAUCCAAUGACUUAAAAAGAAUUGAACAAGGAGCCGUAUGAGGUGAAAAUCUCAUGUACAGUUCUGUAGAAUGGCAGUAAGGGUGACUUAGGCUGGUGGGAAAGGUGGUAGAGAAUAUAAUUCAAGACAGCCCUGGUGCUUUGAAAUAUAAAUCAAAUAUCAAGUCAUCAAGGGAAAUGGAAAGAGAGGGAUUCGAACCCUCGAUACAAAUAACUCAUACAAUGGAUUAGCAAUCUGUCGCUUUAGUCCACUCAGCCACCUCUCCCAAUAAAAAAAAAAAAGAUAAUUACUAUGUUACAUUACACGUAAAGUAAGGAUUAAAAAAAGUCCUUUCUCUCUAUUUAUGUUUAUUAUAUAGGUAUGGUACAAUUUUUUAUCAGCAAUUCCAUUUAGAUAAAAGAAGGGCUAGAAAGAUCCAAUAUAAAUAUAAAGAAAAAUCAAAAUAAAGAAUUCUUUUCUUUGAUUUUGUUCGAAAAGGCCUUUUUUUAUCCCAUGGCCAUGCUAGGUCAGUAUCUAGCCGGGCCUUUUUUUGUUCCAACGAAUGAUAGUAUCUGAUUGAAAAAAAAUACUUGCUAUUAAAGCAACAAGAAAGUGUCUUUUCUUAUUAUUCCUUUCUUCCUUUUUUAUUUGCUUUUUUUUUAACUACUCUACUGGAAUAAAAAAAAAUAAACUAUGAAUUCUUACACAACACAUUUUUUUGUUAUGAUUUCGGUGUUUUUAUCGAGCUGUGUCUAUCAAAUUUCCUCCAGUAAAAGAAAAGGGAAAACUUAUUUUUUAGCUAUUUAAAUGAAUCCUCCAGUAUGGCAUGGGUUACUUCAGCGCCGUAUUAGUUGCCACUCAUUUCUAAUUAGUUGGAAUCUUUUCCUUAAUCUAAGUGACAUUGGAAAUAUUUAUUGAUUGGUGCUGAAUUUUCUUUUUGAAUAGCAGAUAGGAGAACUUAAGAAAUUGGUGGAAGAGGGUAAAAUAAAAUACAUUGGUUUAUCAGAAGCAAGCCCAAACACAAUAAGGAGGGCACAUGCUGUUCAUCCUAUCACUGCUCUACAAAUGGAGUAUUCCCUUUGGACUCGAGACAUUGAGGAAGAAAUAAUCCCGCUUUGCAGGUGCUUCAUAUUGCUUCCAAAAUUCUGCAAGAAUCUUCAUCUUGAGGUUUUUUUUUUUUUCUCAAGUACAAAAGAGGUUCAUCAAGAGCACAUCAAUAAGAAAGGCCAAGAAUCUUCGUCUUGAGUUUACUUACAUUUUAUUCAAAAAUUUGGAGGCUCCUGUUCAAAUGUUGCUCUUUGUUAAAAUAAAAAAUUCAUCCACAAAAAGAUGUUUGAAAGGGCGGCUUUACUUAAUAGUAAGGCUUUCCGUUAGCACUCUUGGCGGCCCAAGUUCGAGUUACGGAAACCAUCUCUCCAGAAGUAGGGGGAACUUAGAAUUGCGAUAGUUCCAUAUUCCCCUACUGCUCAUGGGUUUUUUGCUGGCAAGGCAGUUGUGGAGAGUGUCCCCACAGAUAGCUUCUUGGAACAACUAAGAUUAAAAACCUUGAUGAGAAUAUUGGUGCCUUGAGAGUGAAGCUCACAGAAGACGCUUUAAGAGAUAUUUCAUGCAGUGCCCAUCCUCGAGAUUGCGGGGCCUAGAAUAUAUAAAAGUUUUACUUGUGUCUCGUAUAUUUUUGCGGACACACCACUGCCAAAGAAUUCCAAGUGAGUGGCUUUAUAUUUUUUUUGUGAUGGAAUUAAUGUUAAUAGUGUUUUUGUCAAUUUUGUAUUUCCUCUUGUAGCUUGUUGUGGCUUUGGUGUGUUGUCUUAACAACAUUGUGGCCACUGCAGCUGAAACCCGCGCAUGUUUGGAUGUGUUCCGAUGGUGUCAAGUUCGGGAUAUUCGAGUUCUUUCACAGAUUGCUUAUGGUUGGUCGAACUGCUUCGUGGUACAUCAUCAUGCGAUUGGGCCUCACAACCGCUAAUUUUGGAGAUUUGAUCUUUACUUAAUGGUUUUGAUUAUGUAAAUAUAUGUAAGGUAAGUCGGCAGGUAGUCUAGCAGGCUCAUGUUUUUGCUAAAACUGUCCUUCAUGGCAGUUAACAAGUAAUAUUUGGUUAUGUCUAUUAUGAAAGUUGGUUUGGCUUAA